rnacentral:rRNA from 1 species
UACGGAGGGUGCAAGCGUUAUCCGGAUUCACUGGGUUUAAAGGGUGCGUAGGUGGGCAGGUAAGUCAGUGGUGAAAUCUCCGGGCUUAACCCGGAAACUGCCGUUGAUACUAUCUGUCUUGAAUGUCGUGGAGGUGAGCGGAAUAUGUCAUGUAGCGGUGAAAUGCUUAGAUAUGACAUAGAACACCCAUUGCGAAGGCAGCUCACUACACGAUGAUUGACACUGAGGCACGAAAGCGUGGGGAUCAAACAGGAUUAGAUACCCUGGUAGUCCACGCCCUAAACGAUGAUUACUCGACAUCAGCGAUAAACUGUUGGUGUCUGAGCGAAAGCAUUAAGUAAUCCACCUGGGAAGUACGACCGCAAGGUUGAAACUCAAAG